CGCAGCGUUGGUCGAGGAACUGGCGACGGCCCAGCACGCCGUCAAGAGCACCAUCGCGCCCUACGCCGCGCUCGGCCUCGCGGCGCUGCGC
rnacentral:tRNA from 1 species